AAGAUCAUACUUUAUAGGAUCAAUUCUAUAGUGAGAUUGCCGGGUUUCUCGCCAAGAUUCUCGGAAUAUAUUCAACCACGAUGAGGAUUUUCAGUGUGAUCCUCUGAGCGGGAAGCGGUCCUUACGUAUUUCGUAAGAGCAUUGAUGACCGUUCUGGCUCGGUAUACCGUGUCUAGAGGAGGUUCACGCAGACUGAGUGGU
rnacentral:snoRNA from 1 species